GGAGAGGUGCCAGAGUGGCCGAAUGGAGCUUCCUGCUAAGAAGUUGAUCCCGCAAGGGGUCCGUGGGUUCGAAUCCCACCCUCUCCG
rnacentral:tRNA from 1 species